GGGCCAUGCAGGUCUCUGGCUCAUGGCUCUGGAGGUUUGGAACAGGACACGUGGGCAUCAGCGCUCCUCACCUCAAUCUGCUAGCUCAUCAGUUCUGCUGACCGGACCCUCCCCCACACCCAGGAGUCCUGGUUCUCCUGUUAAAAGCUGGGGUGGGGGAAGGAACCCUUACACAGAGUGCAAAUGUGUCCCUGGAUUCUCCUGGAACCCAGGCGCGCACAGACAGAAGUUGUGUACCCAGGAUUUUAGUAUUUCCUCUCCGGCUCCAGCCCCAAUUUGAGGGCCUGUAAAAGCUUGAACGGCGUCCAGUGCGGCGUGGUUUGCCUAAGCCAGGCUCCCGGCGCUGAGUCAAAGCCCACACAGGGACCAGGGCGCCUGGGAGCCCGUGAAGCUUUCCCAUGUUCAUCGGGACAGUGGUAGGAGCUGGAAAGAGAAGCUUCCUUGUGGCUGGGUGGAUAGACCUGGUGUCAAGAGAGCUCUAGUUCCAGCAUAUGAAUGUGUGAGGCAGGAUAGAGACAGAAAAAUUAACGUCUUGGGAAAGGAAGAGUCCUUCAGCCUGGGAUCCAGUGUGUGGGGCCUGCUGGCUGAGUCCAGAAACUGCAACCCAAUCGAUACAGCCAGAACUGCCAGCUGAGGUUGGGCUUGUCUUCCUGCAUCCGUGGCAAGCAGGAGUGAUCGAGACACAAAUGUGAUGGUGGUGGAGGAUGACAGCAGGAUGGCUGAGGACCCCAAGCUGGCUGAGAACUCUCUGUGGACCUGAGGAUGACCUUGAACUCCUGAUCUUCCUGCCUCCGCCUCCCCAAGUGUUGGUUGAGAUUACAGGGGGACAUGAGCCACCACACCCAUCUUAAAUCUUACUUAAGUUUUAAACCCUGCUUAAUCUUUAAGGCUUGUGGUGAGCGGCCUCCCUUGAAUGACAUAAUUUAGAAACCCGCAAGAUUGUACAUUAGGCCACUGUCCUGAUGCGGUAGUCCAACUUCCUCUAGAAAACCCACUGUGAAAAUCUUAGGUAUGGACUUGCUUUUCCUAAUGGCCAUUCAGAGUCUCUCUCUCUCUCUCCUACCCUUCUUCCCUUCCCCCCUCCUCCAUCUAGUCGAUGCUUAAUGUAUUACCUCUUAACUCCUUUUUAAUAAACUCACCGAUUCACUCUGA